AUGGAGGGCAGACAUUUGCAGACAGCAAAGGCCAGACAAAACAUCUUCAUGGAUGAAUAUGAGAUUCGGAGGAAUAACAUAGUAGACUCUGGUUUAAAUUCAGGUGAUCUCAACAGACUGAGUCCUGAUUGCAGGAGAAUCCUUUCCAUCUUUUUUUUCAUCCUAAGGAUGCUGAUGAAAAUAAUGAACCCCUUCCAAUUGGCUGCAGAGGGUCUUGGAUUGGGCCCAGCUCCUGGUGACACAUUUCCACCAGACAAUGAAGCUGUUAAAUCAUGAUCACUGGACGCAGCCACCCUGGUAUCUUUGGAGCUCAAGAUCUCAUGAGCUUGCUCAUUUUUCAGCCCUACUUGUGGAUGGAUUAACUGUUAAAUGCACAAAGCAGGAAUUGACACUAAGCCAAAGACUUAGCCAAAGUCUUUUCAGAAACACUGUCCUUCCCAUAUACAACAGUUUGUUUGGCCUGCAGAUCCUUUCUCCUUUAACUACAAGCAACCAA
rnacentral:lncRNA from 1 species